GACGAACGCUGGCGGCGUGCUUAACACAUGCAAGUCGAACGGAAAGGCCCUGCUUUUGUGGGGUGCUCGAGUGGCGAACGGGUGAGUAACACGUGAGUAACCUGGCCUUGACUUUGGGAUAACUUCAGGAAACUGGGGCUAAUACCGGAUAGGAGCUCCUGCUGCAUGGUGGGGGUUGGAAAGUUUCGGCGGUUGGGGAUGGACUCGCGGCUUAUCAGCUUGUUGGUGGGGUAGUGGCUUACCAAGGCUUUGACGGGUAGCCGGCCUGAGAGGGUGACCGGCCACAUUGGGACUGAGAUACGGCCCAGACUCCUACGGGAGGCAGCAGUGGUGAAUAUUGCACAAUGGGCGGAAGCCUGAUGCAGCAACGCCGCGUGCGGGAUGACGGCCUUCGGGUUGUAAACCGCUUUCGCCUGUGACGAAGCGUGAGUGACGGUAAUGGGUAAAGAAGCACCGGCUAACUACGUG
rnacentral:rRNA from 1 species